rnacentral:misc_RNA from 1 species
GUCAGUUCAAAGUGAUCAUCCGUGAGCGGUGGACGUCAGUCCGGUCUACGCGUUAACCUUUUUCUUUCCCUUUCAGGAAAUCAUGGAUCAGAGGAGGUACAAACAACGAGGUUUACAGUUCAAUUCCACUUCAGACUCUCGAGCCUUGAGAGCCGUCAAGUACCAAGAAGGGUGGAAAGCCCAGCGCAACAAUGCCAUCACCAAUCGACGCCAGUUGGAAAAUUUUAAUGAUUCGGUUGACAGCAUCCGUCCAAAUAAUAAUCAGAGCAUCAUAAAACAAGACAAUCUUGAGGAAAAGGUCAAAAAGACUAAGAAGGAACUUGGGAUUGAGCGCUACAAGCAACUUUUGAAAUGGAAGGAAAAUAAGAAAAAGACACUUGACAAGGAGAAGAGAAGGCGUCUUCCUUCAUUCAAGACCGGAAUAUAUCACCCAGAAACCCCCAAAUUCUUGGUUUCUUCAGAUGGUAACGUGGAAACAUCUGUGAGUGAGACUCCCAGCAAGAAAACUCCCUUCAAAUUCCUUGUGAGUUCAACCAAAAAAUCCAGCAUUACACCAAGUACUUCUGGGACUAUAGUUCGGCGGAAAAUACCAGUGUUUCACACUGGAGUUACUCCAGGCACAUCAGUGCAGAAGAUACCAAAGCGCUCCACUGGGGUCACGCCCUCCACAUCAGUACCACGUUUUCGCACUGGUGUCACUCCCAAUGAUAUGCUCAAGAUGGGGGGAAUCCUAAGACAUGAUUCGUUCUGCAAAAACAAGUCUCUCACUCUGCAGAAGGAUCAAGAAUGUAAAGUUGCAUCGACCCGAGCAGGAUUAAGGACAGCUAGACCUGAAUAUAGCAAGCAGGAUAAGAUGCCACUUAGCAGUCGGUACCGUUCAACCAGAUUAAAGAAAGCAAAUGACCAAGAAGAACUGGGGGUAAAGCCUCUUCCAGCUACACCAAAACCUAAUCAAGCUUUAAUUACAAAAAGAUGCAAGAGGAAUGAUUCACUGUUACCGUCAUUUGCUCCAAGUGAUUUUACUUUUAAGUUUGAGGCGUCAAACAAACGAAGUUUUGGUAAUGGAAGUUCAGAUGGGGGUGCUUUUGAAGAAGAGGAUAAGUUCUGUGAUGGCCAGUCAGAAGCCCAUCUAAGAAAUGAAGCAGCAGAAAAAAUUGGUAUUGAAAGGGACAAAUCAGCGGAGAUGGAUAGUGCACACAUGGCUGAUGAUGCAGCAGGCUUGAGACAAGAGGAUGCAGGUGUGGCACCUGAAGCUCACGAACAAGAGAAGGACAGUGGAGUGGAAGAGGAUCAGGAAGAGGUGGAUCAAUGUGAAGGACAAAUAUCUGAAGCUGAGGAGCAGGCUGAGGAAGGGGAAGCUGAGGAGCAGGCUGAGGAAGGGGAAGCUGAGGAGCAGGCCGAGGAAGGGGACGCUGAGGAGCAAGCCGAGGAAGGGGACGCUGAGGAGCAGGCCGAGGAAGGGGACGCUGAGGAGCAGGCCGAGGAAGGUGAAGCUGAGGAGCAGGCCGAGGAAGGGGAAGCUGAGGAGCAGGCCGAGGAAGGGGAAGCUGAGGAGCAGGCCGAGGAAGGGGAAGCUGAGGAGCAGGCCGAGGAAGGGGAAGCUGAGGAGCAGGCCGAGGAAGGGGACGCUGAGGAGCAGGCCGAGGAAGGGGAAGCUGAGGAGCAGGCCGAGGAAGGGGAAGCUGAGGAGCAGGCCAAGGAAGGGGAAGCUGAGGAGCAGGUCGAGGAAGGUGAAGCUGGGGAGCCUGCUGAGGAGAGCAAAGCAUUUACUGAAGUGGAGAUGAUGAAAGUGGAAGAGCUUGAAAGUGAGGAGAGUGUAGAGGAAAUUAAAGCAGAUGAGCAAUUGUUGGAUGAAAAAAUUGAAAGUGAUGUCAGUGAUGGGGUACAGGUUACCGCAGGAAAUUCAGAUCAAAUUCCUUACGUCAUGAAGGGCGAAAUUAACACAAUGGAUGUCGGUGAAAAAAUGGCACUUGAUGAUGAACCCGAUGGUGCUGCAAGGGAGUGUAAGGCUACACCAUUUACCAAUGACAAGGUUGGCAAAGCAAGUAAACGCAGUAGUGUGGCUACCCCAAGGAAUCGUUAUACAAGGAAGUCGGUUGCAUGCUGUGGGGAUGGGAUUUUAACACCAAGCCUUUCUAGACUGCGUCCCCGUACUCCAUGUAGCCGUAAUACAAGACGCUCGCUUUCUGCUCAUUGUGAUCCACAACCCGAGUUCACUCCUAGUCGACGGACACCUGGUCGAAAAAGUUAUCGACACUCCAUGAAUAGCGCUAAAAUUAUACCAGAGUUGUCCUCUGAUGUUGAGAGCACGGUUUUGAAGAACAUUGUUAAAGAACAUGAGCCAGUAAUAGAAAAUGAACAAAUGCAUGAGGCUGCUGCAGUGGAGAGUCGCAAACAAUUUAAGAUGCCAGAUGGAGAAAGUAUAUCCAGUGAAAAAAAGGUGCAGAUUACUCCAAAGGCUGAUAAAGUGUCAAGUUCAUCACUACUAAUAACGCCCAAGAGUCUUGAACGUCAAUCAAAAGUAUCGUGGAAGAUUGAGACAUCUCCAUGGAUUGAUGUCUCUCGACGUACAAAAAAAAGACGAAGCUGUUCCACACCAGAUUUCCAAAAGUUUCCAGAAGUCCCUACAGAUGGAUCACCUCUUCCUGUGCAUUUGAUCCCUGAGGCUCCGACAUAUAAAAUAUGUGAAUCGGCGAUGGUAUCUAGUGACAAAAAGUCAGAUUCUGCCGUUAGUGACGACCAGCCCUGUGUUGAGCUUUUAGCACUGCUAAAACCUUCUUUGCUUGCAACUGCUGUUGACUCUCCAGCUAUUAAUGUGUGGGGUGAGGCUACUCCAGUAACUAAAAAUUCAGACGUUUUGGUAACAUCUGAAGUGAAUAUGGAACACCAUUCUCAAACUACUCCUGGAUCAUCUUGUGCAACGAUGCAUAGCUUGACCCCUGCUAUUGAUCAGUCGACCGAUCAAACACCCUUAUCAUCUAUUAUGUCCAUCCCGGUGGAAGUUGCUAGCUCUACUGAUUCUCCAAAAUCUAGGAAAAGUGGUGCAGAAAAGGUUCCUGAUCAAAGUUUGCCAUCAAAUUCCUCUACCGUUGGAAAGGUCUUAACAGGGAAGAGGAAGUCUCGGAGAUCAGUUAUGUUUGCUGUAGACCAGGAAAAUGAAGUGCCUAGCUUCAGAUUUCCAGGUACUCCGAUUCGAUCUUCAUCUCGAGCAUCAAGUAAGUCGAAGGGUACAAGUUUUGUUAGUGGGUCUCUUUGGUAAUGUUGACAUGAGUACAGAUGACAUUAUUCCUUCACGACAUGAAGAUCAGUGUCUCGUGGAGUCUCCUAAGAGUGAGAAGAAAACGACUGCAACCCGAAGGAAAUCAUCACGCGUGAGUUUGCUACCAGGCAUGACAAGAAGCCCUCUAGUAGAGCAGACAUUGCCUGUCAAUUGUGACUUGAUCAGCUGGGACACUCCAGUUGAAACCAAGGAAAGAAUAUCCAGAA